rnacentral:pre_miRNA from 1 species
GAGACACCGUUAUGGGACAGGACUUGCUUCAGUGGGGCUCUGAUGCUCACUGAGUCUGCCCCUUGAGUGUGUCACU